UAUACAUAUAGGGUGUGUUC
rnacentral:piRNA from 1 species